rnacentral:rRNA from 1 species
CCCUUAGAUGUCCUGGGCCGCACGCGCGCUACACUGAUGCAUGCAACGAGUUUAUAACCUUGGCCUGAAAGGUCUGGGUAAUCUUUUGAACGUGCAUCGUGAUAGGGAUAGAUUAUUGCAAUUGUUAAUCUUGAACGAGGAAUUCCUAGUAAACGCGAGUCAUCAGCUCGCAUUGAUUACGUCCCUGCCCUUUGUACACACCGCCCGUCGCACCUACCGAUUAAAUGGUUCGGUGAAGAUCUCGGACUUCGAUAUUUAUUCUUUAUUGAGUUUAUAUUGUGGGAAGUUAUCUAAACCUCAUCAUUUAGAGGAAGGUGAAGUCGUAACA